rnacentral:rRNA from 1 species
UGGGGAAUAUUGCGCAAUGGGGGAAACCCUGACGCAGCAACGCCGCGUGAUUGAAGAAGGUCUUCGGAUUGUAAAAAUCUUUUAUCAAGGACGAAGAAGUGACGGUACUUGAUGAAUAAGCUCCGGCUAACUACGUGCCAGCAGCCGCGGUAAUACGUAGGGAGCAAGCGUUAUCCGGAUUUACUGGGUGUAAAGGGCGAGUAGGCGGAUUGGCAAGUUGGGAGUGAAAUGUCGGGGCUUAACCCCGGAACUGCUUCCAAAACUGUUGAUCUUGAGUGAUGGAGAGGCAGGCGGAAUUCCCAGUGUAGCGGUGAAAUGCGUAGAUAUUGGGA